AUACCUAUAGAGGCGGGAAGCCGGAGUCUCGGGCGUCAUGUACUACAAAUUUAGCGGCUUCACGCAGAAGUUGGCGGGAGCAUGGGCUUUGGAGGCCUAUAGCCCACAGGGAUUAAAGCCUGCAGUUCCCAUAGAAGCACCUCCUAUCAUAUUUGCCACACCAACUAAACUGACCUCCGAUUCCACAGUGUAUGAUUAUGCUGAGAAAAACAGAGUUCCGGAGCUGCAGAAGUUUUUCCAGAAAGCUGAUGGUGUGCCAUCUACCUGAAACGAGGCCUGCUUGGCCAAAUGCUUUACUGGACCACCAUGACCCUGACUGUGGGAGGGACCAUCUACUGCCUGAUUGCCCUCUACAUGGCUGCACAGCCCAAAAAACAAGUUAGGCUGCAGAGGACGGGUUUGCUUUUUUGGCAUAAACCCUUUGAAUUUCCUUUUUCAUUGUUCAUUUUUUUUUUUUAACUUGGAUGGCUUAACAUUUUUAAAAAUGCAAGAAAAAUAGGAAGAUACGAAGACAAUAUUUUGGUUUAUGAAAUGCAUAUGGCUUGUCAGAGCUCAUUCCACAGUUAAAGCCAUUGUUUAAAGAAACGGUGCUGUGCUCUGUGUUUGUGCUCCUGAUUUCCCUGGAGGUUCUGGGUGAAAGUUGCACACAGACUCAUGAAUGUCAGUCUGUGCCUCAGGGACUUGAGGUUGCAUUUGUUGAGCACAGGAUGCAGAAGCCUUUCUGGAUUUGGAUGUGACUGUGGAAAGAAUACAGAAGCCAAGGCCAUAUGCAUAAAAUGAGGAGUUGGAGUUAGUAGUCACCUCAGGGAUUUUUUCCAUUUUGCAGUAAGAAGUUAAAAGAA